CGGGCGGGUGAGUAAUGUAUGGGGAUCUGCCUGAUGGCGGGGGAUAACUACUGGAAACGGUAGCUAAUACCGCAUAAUGUCUACGGACCAAAGCGGGGGACCUCCGGGCCUCGCGCCAUCAGAUGAACCCAUAUGGGAUUAGCUAGUAGGUAAGGUAACGGCUUACCUAGGCGACGAUCCCUAGCUGGUCUGAGAGGAUGAUCAGCCACACUGGGACUGAGACACGGCCCAG
rnacentral:rRNA from 1 species